UACGUAGGGUGCGAGCGUUUUCCGGAGUUAUUGGGCGUAAAGAGCUCGUAGGCGGUUUGUCGCGUCUGCCGUGAAAGUCCGGGGCUCAACUCCGGAUCUGCGGUGGGUACGGGCAGACUAGAGUGAUGUAGGGGAGACUGGAAUUCCUGGUGUAGCGGUGGAAUGCGCAGAUAUCAGGAGGAACACCAACGGCGAAGGCAGCUCGCUAGGACGGUACUGACGCUGAGGCGCGAAAGCGUGGGGAGCAAACAGG
rnacentral:rRNA from 1 species